rnacentral:lncRNA from 1 species
CGGCAAUGUAGGUUCCGGAAGGGCGGGGCGGAGCACGAGGCAGCGGUGCACGCCACCCGCGGCGGCGACAACGGUGGCGAGGGGGAGGUGCGGGUCAGCAUCGAUGGGAAGAGAGUGGCUGAGGUUUUGAUUGAGCCAAUGGGGUGGGCAGUUUUUGGUGCACCCAUGGGUUGCCACUACUGUUAUUUCUAUGAUGCACUGCAUAUUAUAAUUUGA